rnacentral:rRNA from 1 species
AACUUUCAACAACGGAUCUCUUAGCUCUAGCAUCGAUGAAGAACGCAGC